CAAUAGCGUAUAUUAAAGUUGUUGCAGUUAAAACGCUCGUAGUCGGAUUUCGGGGCGGGCGCCGUCUGCGAUGGUAUGCACUGGCGGGCGCGUCCUUUUUCCCGGAGACGGCUGCUACUCUUAACUGAGCGGUGGUCGGAGACGGGAUAUUUACUUUGAAAAAUCAGAGUGUUUCAAGCAGGCAGUCGCUCUUGCAUGGAUUAGCAUGGGAUAAUGAAAUAGGACUCUGGUGCUAUUUUGUUGGUUUCGAGCACCGGAGUAAUGAUUAACAGGGAUAGUCAGGGGCACUCGUAUUCCGCCGAGAGAGGUGAAAUUCUCAGACCAGCGGAAGACGAACCACUGCGAAAGCAUUUGCCAGGGAUGUUUUCACUGAUCAAGAACGAAAGUUAGGGGAUCGAAGAUGAUUAGAU
rnacentral:rRNA from 1 species